ACACAAAUCAAUUUUAGGGUUUCUCAUUCUCAUCGCAUUUUAUCCGCCCCCAUGGAGCUGCUUUCCCUCCAGGCGAUUCAAAAGGAGAUCUAGGGUUUCUCUUGGCGAUGCAACAUCUGGCUUUCUCAAUGACACAACGAAUCUCUGUCUAUACGACACCCAAACGACUGAGUUUGAAGGUGGUGAAGGGUUUGGAUCUGCCAAUCAGUGACGUAUGAGCAAGGUAUGGUUCCGACAAACUGAAGACUUUGACAUCUAAUCUGAAUGGUAUUGGGUCCCCUAUGAAGCCCCUUGUAAACGACGAUCACACAAAAUCGACGAUUUUAGGGUUCAGUUUUGGUAGUCUGAUGAGGAAAUUCAGCAUCAUGUUAUGGGUUGCCGGUAAUUCGUUGCAUUAGCUGUUACAAGUGAAGACCCCCAGAGAGACAUGAAGCCCUAGGUUGCUCGGUAUGCAGAG